ACCAGCUAGUCCAAGUCUCCACCCUGCCCCACCCCCGCACAUUCCGUAUCAGCCAGCUGGGCCACCUCAGUGUUACUAAGAAGUGGUCUUAACCCCGAGUCACUGCUCACCUGAGUCACUGGUCACCUGAACUGGAACAGGAAAAAGUAACCUCUAGGAAAAUGUGUCUUUGGACCAGUCUUAUGAAACAGACAAAAAAACGCAAGCAUACCACUCUACAUACACAAUAGCCAGGCUUCAAGCUUUAAUACUUCAGUCUUACCUUUGUUGUACUGUUUCUUUUUCUUUACCCUGAUAGGAAGAUACCAGGAAUCUCCUGGGUCAUGGAUGAAAUAAGAUGUAUUUUGGGUGAAAGCUGCAAUAAAGCUACAAACUAGGGUUUGAGGGGGAGAAAGGUCUGUUGCAUACACAGCAACAAGGACAGAAAGAUGAGUUCUCCAGGAAAAGAAAGGGCCAGUGAAGACUCCACAGGGACAAUCAAGUGUGAGGAAGACAAGACACUGCCACCUUUACCUCUGCCGGUCACCUGUGUGUUUAUAACUGAAUAACCUAUAAGGGGACAUGUAUCCCAACUAACUGGAAACAGAAGGCAAUAUCAGGGUAAGGAAGUUGCAUCCUGCUGAAAAGAAUCCUAGAAAUUCUUUAUGGGAGAGGUAGCAUUUGAAACAGAAUCUGAAGAAAACUAGGAUAUUUACAGGACAAGAUGAGUGGACAAAAGCACUGAAAUCAGUACAAGCAAGAGCAGAGGUACAGGAGAGAGAAACUGCUAUGGUUAGGGACCACAAGUAAUCUAGUUAAGCCUGAUUAUGGGAUAUAUUUAAAGAAGAGUAGCUACUAUGGUUAGAAAGUUACAGUGGCAUUAGCAACGGAAGCUCCAUGUGCCAGGUAGAGGUGAGUCAAUUUGGUUUUCAAGGG